UGGAUGCCUUGGCACUAGAAGCCGAUGAAGGACGUUACUAACGACGAUAUGCUUUGGGGAGCUGUAAGUAAGCUUUGAUCCAGAGAUUUCCGAAUGGGGAAACCCAGCAUGAGUUAUGUCAUGUUAUCGAUAUGUGAAUACAUAGCAUAUCAGAAGGCACACCCGGAGAACUGAAACAUCUUAGUACCCGGAGGAAGAGAAAGAAAAUUCGAUUCCCUUAGUAGCGGCGAGCGAAAUGGGAAGAGCCCAAACCAACAAGCUUGCUUGUUGGGGUUGUAGGACACUCUAUACGGAGUUACAAAGGACGACAUUAGACGAAUCAUCUGGAAAGAUGAAUCAAAGAAGGUAAUAAUCCUGUAGUCGAAAAUGUUGUCUCUCUUGAGUGGAUCCUGAGUACGACGGAGCACGUGAAAUUCCGUCGGAAUCUGGGAGGACCAUCUCCUAAGGCUAAAUACUCUCUAGUGACCGAUAGUGAACCAGUACCGUGAGGGAAAGGUGAAAAGCACCCCGGAAGGGGAGUGAAAUAGAACCUGAAACCGUGUGCUUACAAGUAGUCAGAGCCCGUUAAUGGGUGAUGGCGUGCCUUUUGUAGAAUGAACCGGCGAGUUACGAUUUGAUGCAAGGUUAAGCAGUAAAUGUGGAGCCGUAGCGAAAGCGAGUCUGAAUAGGGCGUUUAGUAUUUGGUCGUAGACCCGAAACCAGGUGAUCUACCCUUGGUCAGGUUGAAGUUCAGGUAACACUGAAUGGAGGACCGAACCGACUUACGUUGAAAAGUGAGCGGAUGAACUGAGGGUAGCGGAGAAAUUCCAAUCGAACCUGGAGAUAGCUGGUUCUCUCCGAAAUAGCUUUAGGGCUAGCCUCAAGUGAUGAUUAUUGGAGGUAGAGCACUGUUUGGACGAGGGGCCCCUCUCGGGUUACCGAAUUCAGACAAACUCCGAAUGCCAAUUAAUUUUAACUUGGGAGUCAGAACAUGGGUGAUAAGGUCCGUGUUCGAAAGGGAACAGCCCAGACCACCAGCUAAGGUCCCAAAAUAUAUGUUAAGUGGAAAAGGAUGUGGCGUUGCCCAGACAACUAGGAUGUUGGCUUAGAAGCAGCCAUCAUUUAAAGAGUGCGUAAUAGCUCACUAGUCGAGUGACACUGCGCCGAAAAUGUACCGGGGCUAAACAUAUUACCGAAGCUGUGGAUUGUCCUUUGGACAAUGGUAGGAGAGCGUUCUAAGGGCGUUGAAGCAUGAUCGUAAGGACAUGUGGAGCGCUUAGAAGUGAGAAUGCCGGUGUGAGUAGCGAAAGACGGGUGAGAAUCCCGUCCACCGAUUGACUAAGGUUUCCAGAGGAAGGCUCGUCCGCUCUGGGUUAGUCGGGUCCUAAGCUGAGGCCGACAGGCGUAGGCGAUGGAUAACAGGUUGAUAUUCCUGUACCACCUAUAAUCGUUUUAAUCGAUGGGGGGGACGCAGUAGGAUAGGCGAAGCGUGCGAUUGGAUUGCACGUCUAAGCAGUAAGGCUGAGUAUUAGGCAAAUCCGGUACUCAUUAAGGCUGAGCUGUGAUGGGGAGAAGACAUUGUGUCUUCGAGUCGUUGAUUUCACACUGCCGAGAAAAGCCUCUAGAUAGAAAAUAGGUGCCCGUACCGCAAACCGACACAGGUAGUCAAGAUGAGAAUUCUAAGGUGAGCGAGCGAACUCUCGUUAAGGAACUCGGCAAAAUGACCCCGUAACUUCGGGAGAAGGGGUGCUCUUUAGGGUUAACGCCCAGAAGAGCCGCAGUGAAUAGGCCCAAGCGACUGUUUAUCAAAAACACAGGUCUCUGCUAAACCGUAAGGUGAUGUAUAGGGGCUGACGCCUGCCCGGUGCUGGAAGGUUAAGAGGAGUGGUUAGCUUCUGCGAAGCUACGAAUCGAAGCCCCAGUAAACGGCGGCCGUAACUAUAACGGUCCUAAGGUAGCGAAAUUCCUUGUCGGGUAAGUUCCGACCCGCACGAAAGGCGUAACGAUUUGGGCACUGUCUCAACGAGAGACUCGGUGAAAUCAUAGUACCUGUGAAGAUGCAGGUUACCCGCGACAGGACGGAAAGACCCCGUGGAGCUUUACUGUAGCCUGAUAUUGAAAUUCGGCACAGCUUGUACAGGAUAGGUAGGAGCCUUUGAAACGUGAGCGCUAGCUUACGUGGAGGCGCUGGUGGGAUACUACCCUAGCUGUGUUGGCUUUCUAACCCGCACCACUUAUCGUGGUGGGAGACAGUGUCAGGCGGGCAGUUUGACUGGGGCGGUCGCCUCCUAAAAGGUAACGGAGGCGCUCAAAGGUUCCCUCAGAAUGGUUGGAAAUCAUUCAUAGAGUGUAAAGGCAUAAGGGAGCUUGACUGCGAGACCUACAAGUCGAGCAGGGUCGAAAGACGGACUUAGUGAUCCGGUGGUUCCGCAUGGAAGGGCCAUCGCUCAACGGAUAAAAGCUACCCCGGGGAUAACAGGCUUAUCUCCCCCAAGAGUUCACAUCGACGGGGAGGUUUGGCACCUCGAUGUCGGCUCAUCGCAUCCUGGGGCUGUAGUCGGUCCCAAGGGUUGGGCUGUUCGCCCAUUAAAGCGGUACGCGAGCUGGGUUCAGAACGUCGUGAGACAGUUCGGUCCCUAUCCGUCGUGGGCGUAGGAAAUUUGAGAGGAGCUGUCCUUAGUACGAGAGGACCGGGAUGGACAUACCUCUGGUGUACCAGUUGUCGUGCCAACGGCAUAGCUGGGUAGCUAUGUGUGGACGGGAUAAGUGCUGAAAGCAUCUAAGCAUGAAGCCCCCCUCAAGAUGAGAUUUCCCAACUUCGGUUAUAAGAUCCCUCAAAGAUGAUGAGGUUAAUAGGUUCGAGGUGGAAGCAUGGUGACAUGUGGAGCUGACGAAUACUAAUCGAUCGAAGACUUAAUCA
rnacentral:rRNA from 1 species